rfam:Hymenolepis microstoma genomic scaffold, pathogens_HYM_scaffold_0007
UAACUCAUCAGUGGUGUGGUUUGCUAAUGGUUUAGUAAGUUCCUUGAAUUGGUGCUAUUUAGGUGCCACAGAAAGGUGAGUAUCUGGCUGGUACUGAGAAGAUGGCCAAACUUGACCAUUUAGGGGAAGUAAAAGUCGUAACAAGGUUUCCGUAGGUGAACCUGCGGAAG